GUCCCCUUGGGGACAUCCGAUAAAAUUGGAAUGAUACAGAGAAGAUUAGCAUGGCCCCUGCGCAAGGAUGACACGUACAAAUCGAGAAAUGGUCCAAAUUUUU
rnacentral:snRNA from 1 species